AUGCUCGAGAUGGCUGCCGUUAGUGACAAAGACCCUUUUGGAGACCUCCCUGACGAGCUCCUAUGGCGAGUGCUAUCCUUCCUGCCGGCGGACGAUGCCCUGCAGACCUGCGUGCUCGACACCCGGUGGCGCGACCUCUGGAGGCACGCGACCAGCCUGCUAUUCGUCUUCGAUGGGCCAACGUUCCCACGAUACAAGCGUUUCGAACAGUUGGUGAAGCUGGUCAUCCAUCUCCGCGGGAACUCGGCUCUCAUCAGGUGCGAGAUUGAUGCAUAUCCCCAUGAUGAGCCGGAGGAUACAUUCACAAACACCAGGCUGUUGAUUGACUACGCUCUGGCAUGCAAAGCUGAGGAGCUCGUGGUAAGAGCUGCGGUGUUCGAUGUGCCUCUCAGUCUCAUCUCUCGACAUCUCAGGACCAUACACCUUGAACGGGUGAACCUUUACUGCUCUGACCUGAAGUUCUCAGGCUGCCCAGUCUUAGAGGAUCUAACAAUUCAAUUCUGCAAUAUUCAUGCACGCAAGAUGUCAUCCAAAUCACUAAAGCGCCUAUUCAUCAUCGAUUGUUGUUCUUUACCUGACAUCGUGCGCCUUCGGAUUUGUGCCGCGAGUCUCAUCUCACUGCAGCUAGAGGAUUUUGAAGGCUUGACACCUUUUCUUGAAAACAUGCCAUUGUUAGAAACUGCCCAUGUUAAUCUUGACGAUGGAUGUCAUGAUCACUGUCGCAGUAAUCGGGGGGUUUGUGAUAAUAUUUUCUGUGGUUGUCAUACUUAUCCUGUCAAGGAGGGGGUGCUUCUCAAUAGUUUGUCCAAUGCUGCUAAGUUGGACUUGAUAGCUUUACCUAAAAUGUUUCUGUACAGAUGGGAUUUGAAAUGGUGCCCCGUCUUUGGCGAAUUAAAGACUCUGUUACUCAAUGAGUGGUUUACGGCUGUUGACCUUGUUUGCAUUCUCCGACACUCUCCAGUUCUUGAGAUACUCACUCUUCAGCUUGAUAACACCGAGAACAUUGUAGGAGCAACAGGAGCCCAAGAAACAAUAACACAAUCAUUUGUGUGUGAACACCUAAAGUUCGUUUACAUUGAAUGUGAAAAGGUUGAUGAGGGAGUUGGUUUAAUCUUGAAUAUCUUAAGUUCAUGCGGCAUACUUCAUGAGCAAAUUAGCAUCAAGGAGGAUCCACAUUCAGACUCAGAUUAUUCAUCCACUGAUAGCGACUCCACUGAUAGUGACUAA
rnacentral:rRNA from 1 species